CCGGAAACAUAUAAACUUGUAGACAACAGUGGUGAACCUCUCAAAUGUCCUUGGAAUGAUGAACACUCGAGAAACUAUUAUCAAUAAAGUAGCUUGGCUUAAGUAAACCUUAGUUCGAUCAUCGAUGAAGUUAUAUACUUGACCCGAUUAAUAAAUUAAUCUCUGCAGCAAUGAUAUGGCAGUGUCUUCAGUUGGGCGAGCUUAUCAACUAGAGCAAAAUACACUUCAUACAAACAAAAGACAAACUUUACAAAGAAAUCCUAAAAUUCUCAGUAUUACCAAAAAAUAAAAAUAAAAAUAAAAAAUCUAUAAGUGCAAGAUGGACUUUGCUAAGUCAGCCAAAGGAUUACAUUCUUAAACGAAUUAAUCUAGUAAAUUUUUGUGAAAAAUAAAUCUAAAGAUCACAUGACUUCUCGCUUUUGAGUUCGCAUAAUUGCAAGCUUCCUGAAGUUGAAUAAAUAGUAGACCAAAAGCGUUUUAGCGGAAUCAUAAUUGGCAAAAUGUAGAAAGCGUAAAAACAUGGCAUUGCCGAUUUAUUAGUUAUCUGUUGAUAAUGUUGCAAAGCGGAACCACUCCAUUCCUAAGUUCAUGGAAUUGCACGUCUCUCAGACGGAGGAACAGUCAAAGACAUACUGAAAACGUACAAUGAAGUUGUCGUCAGGGACGGACGCAGACACUUUGGGUUAGAAGGUCACAAUUAAAUUUUCAAACAGUGAGUAAAUCGUAAAUGAUAAUGACGGUCCGUAGUCGACAGAUUGGAAAGGAGAGACAAAGGCACAAAAUUGAGUUUGGAACUGUCAGUUGCAUAAUAUAUUUACUGUGUAGGUUUUAAAAUUUGACAUUCUCUUUUAAAAAAUGCAAAAAUUAGGGGGGUCAAUUGACCCUAUUGGACCCCCCAGGUCCGCACCUAGUUGUUGUUGAUGUUUGUAAAAUAUUUCCAUUCCUAAGAAAGGUCCUAAUGCUUAUCUUGGAAAAACAUCUUGAGGUAUGAUUUUGUCAAAUGAUUUAUAAUCUUAAGAAUUUUAGGAGAGAAAUGCAAGUACAACUCUAUGUUUAGGAAAGAAACAAUAAGUAAUGACAAUAUCAUGGUAUAUAUAAUAUUAAGAAAUAUAUCGUGGGUAUUGUAUCAUAACAUGUUCAAUCUUAAUCUUAAAAAAUAAGGUGAUCUUAACCAUUGAAUAUGAAAGGGCACAUUCAAACAAACGAUCAAGAUCAAGACAUAUUUAUGAAAAUGAUCCAGAUCGAGUGUAUGCUUCAUGCGUAUAUAGAUGCAUGGACAUCAAAAAACGUAUUAAAAACGGAAGUUAUGAAGGAAUCAUUGCAUCUAAUUAACUAUCAUUAAUGCACAGGAAGUUGCAGUAUAUAGUAUUUAGCUUGUUCAUAAGUUCGCCACUUAAAAUAAAUAGUUAAAUUCGAACUUCGGAGACUAUUAUGGAUAAUUAUCUAAUUUUGUUUUCCAAAAAAAA
rnacentral:lncRNA from 1 species